rnacentral:piRNA from 1 species
UCCAGCAUGGGGGAAACCCAC